rnacentral:rRNA from 1 species
AGAGUUUGAUCAUGGCUCAGAUUGAACGCUGGCGGCAGGCCUAACACAUGCAAGUCGAGCGGUAGCACAAGAGAGCUUGCUCUCUGGGUGACGAGCGGCGGACGGGUGAGUAAUGUCUGGGAAACUGCCUGAUGGAGGGGGAUAACUACUGGAAACGGUAGCUAAUACCGCAUAACGUCUUCGGACCAAAGUGGGGGACCUUCGGGCCUCACGCCAUCAGAUGUGCCCAGAUGGGAUUAGCUAGUAGGUGGGGUAAUGGCUCACCUAGGCGACGAUCCCUAGCUGGUCUGAGAGGAUGACCAGCCACACUGGAACUGAGACACGGUCCAGACUCCUACGGGAGGCAGCAGUGGGGAAUAUUGCACAAUGGGCGCAAGCCUGAUGCAGCCAUGCCGCGUGUGUGAAGAAGGCCUUCGGGUUGUAAAGCACUUUCAGCGAGGAGGAAGAGUAGUGUGUUAAUAGCACAUUGCAUUGACGUUACUCGCAGAAGAAGCACCGGCUAACUCCGUGCCAGCAGCCGCGGUAAUACGGAGGGUGCAAGCGUUAAUCGGAAUUACUGGGCGUAAAGCGCACGCAGGCGGUUUGUUAAGUCAGAUGUGAAAUCCCCGCGCUUAACGUGGGAACUGCAUUUGAAACUGGCAAGCUAGAGUCUUGUAGAGGGGGGUAGAAUUCCAGGUGUAGCGGUGAAAUGCGUAGAGAUCUGGAGGAAUACCGGUGGCGAAGGCGGCCCCCUGGACAAAGACUGACGCUCAGGUGCGAAAGCGUGGGGAGCAAACAGGAUUAGAUACCCCGGUAGU